CCGGGAGUGUGCCGCGGCACUCUGUGAGCCGAGUGGCCGGUUGGUUUUGGGAUGCUAUCAGUUGGUAAGACUAUUGCAACAAGUCUGUACUGAGCCGCCCCUAGAAUGGCGAUGUUUCUAUUGGCUCAAAGGGGUAGCUCUUUGGGUCGAGGGAAUUGAAUAGAGGGAGACUGUCCCAGGCGGGAAACCGAACAGGAGAACCUCUCAGCAUUGCUACGUCUCAGGGAAAACAGCUCGUGCGUUGUACUACACACUGCUGGUGGACCAAAACUUUU
rnacentral:SRP_RNA from 1 species